rnacentral:ribozyme from 11 species
CCAAAUAGAGACAGAGAGAAAUAAACGUACUUACACAAAAAAGAAGAAAAGAAAAAAAAAGCAACGUCAGGGAAAGGGACGACGCUUCUUCUGGUUCUUUCGAGGCGCCCGUGCGCACAAGUGUUUAUUUACCAAUCGUUGUUUUUCUGAUUGUUCGUUCUUUGCUCUUUCCCC